CCCUUAGAUGUUCUGGGCCGCACGCGUGCUACACUGACCGGCGCAACAAGCUUUUUUCCUUGGCUCGACAGGCCUGGGUAAUCUUCGAACGCCGGUCGUGAUGGGGAUAGAUCCUUGCAAUUUUUGAUCUUCAACGAGGAAUUCCUAGUAAACGCAAGUCAUCAGCUUGCAUUGAUUACGUCCCUGCCCUUUGUACACACCGCCCGUCGCACCUACCGAUUGAAUGGUCCGGUGAAUCUUUAGGACUGUGGCUGAGGCCUUGCCUUGUGCGGGUCUGGCCGUGGGAAUUUAGUUAAACCUUACCAUUUAGAGGAAGGUGAAGUCGUAACA
rnacentral:rRNA from 1 species